AAUCAACGCUGGCGGCGUGCCUCAGACAUGCAAGUCGAACGAUUAAAGCUCUCUUCGGAGAGUGCAUAGAGUGGCGCACGGGUGAGUAACACGUAAGUAAUCUACCUUCGAGUGGGGAAUAACGUCCGGAAACGGACGCUAAUACCGCAUAAUGCAGCGGCAUCGCAAGAUGACAGUUGUUAAAGAAUUUAUUCGCUUGAAGAGGAGCUUGCGGCAGAUUAGCUUGUUGGUAAGGUAACGGCUUACCAAGGCUACGAUCUGUAACCGGUCUAAGAGGACGGUCGGUCACACUGACACUGAAUAACGGGUCAGACUCCUACGGGAGGCAGCAGUCGGGAAUUUUGGGCAAUGGGGGAAACCCUGACCCAGCAACGCCGCGUGAAGGAUGAAGUAUUUCGGUAUGUAAACUUCGAAAGAAUAGGAAGAAUAAAUGACGGUACUAUUUAUAAGGUCCGGCUAACUACGUGCCAGCAGCCG
rnacentral:rRNA from 1 species